rnacentral:rRNA from 1 species
UACUCGAGUGGCGAACGGGUGAGUAACACGUGGGUGAUCUGCCCUGCACUUCGGGAUAAGCCUGGGAAACUGGGUCUAAUACCGGAUAGGAGCCAUCUUUAGUGUGAUGGUUGGAAAGUUUUUUCGGUGUAGGAUGAGCUCGCGGCCUAUCAGCUUGUUGGUGGGGUAAUGGCCUACCAAGGCGGCGACGGGUAGCCGGCCUGAGAGGGUGGACGGCCACAUUGGGACUGAGAUACGGCCCAG